GAUUGAACGCUGGCGGCAGGCUUAACACAUGCAAGUCGAACGGUAGCAGGGAAGUGCUUGCACUUUUGCUGACGAGUGGCGGACGGGUGAGUAAUGCUUGGGAAUCUGGCUUAUGGAGGGGGAUAACUGUGGGAAACUGCAGCUAAUACCGCGUAUAAUCGGGAGAUGAAAGACUGGGAGCGAAAGUCCAGUUGCCAUAAGAUGAGCCCAAGUGGGAUUAGGUAGUUGGUGGGGUAAAGGCCUACCAAGCCGUCGAUCUCUAGCUGGUCUGAGAGGAUGGCCAGCCACACUGGGACUGAGACACGGCCCAGACUCCUACGGGAGGCAGCAGUGGGGAAUAUUGCGCAAUGGGGGGAACCCUGACGCAGCCAUGCCGCGUGAAUGAAGAAGGCCUUCGGGUUGUAAAGUUCUUUCGGUGGUGAGGAAGGCGAUUAGUUUAAUAGGCUAAUUGAUUGACGUUAACCACAGAAGAAGCACCGGCUAACUCCGU
rnacentral:rRNA from 1 species